UAGAACUGCAGGUUCACAUUCCACUCUUCCGUCUCCCUCUGCGUCCACUCCCUCCAGAGGCAUGCACGCCAUCCUUCUUGUCCUCUGCCACUCCCGUAGGGAGCCUCCCUCUCGUCUACUGGGGCUGGUUCCCUGGCCUUCCAGCCCUUCUCCCCACCCCCAGCCCCCAAUCUCCCUCCAGCCCAGUGCAUUCCACAAGAUCCACCCAGUCCAUGGGCCUGGGGAGGAGAUAACCCUGCCCCUCCCUCCUCCUUCCUGAAUUUUCCUCAGGGGACGGGGUCUAGGAAGCUGGUCCCUGGGGUGGCUCCCAGACUCCUGAACCUGCGCAAACAAGUGACUCAGCCCUGUUCUCGAUUGCUGAUGGAGCCACCUGAGGUCACAAUGACUGUCUUGACUUUUGGAUCAGAAAACUUCAUCCUGGAACCUCCCCAUUACUCUGAAAUAAAGAACAUUUUCAUCAGAACUUGGGAAGUGCAGCAUCUAGCCAAGAUCUCCAAACAAACACCAUUUUCUGAUUGAAAGAAAUAAAGCAAAUGCUUCCCAGAGCUUUCUGCUGCUGACUGCAAAAAUGGCUUCAACUCCCCCUCCUCCUUCCAUUUGCACCUGUCCAUGCCGCUCUGCAAAGUGCCCUGCAGCUCCUCCCAGCAAGGCUGGAGUCUGUGCUUGUGACUCACUCGGACCAACACAAUGCAGCAAAGGUGAUGUGUGCCACGCCUGAGCCUGGGCUUGAAAGGUCUUGCGUCUUCUGCUUGGUCUCUUGAAACCCUGCUGCCACCAGGUGAACAAGCCCAAGCUAACCUACUGGGUGAUCAGAGACACAUCCUAGUCACCUCUCUUGCAUCUGUCACCCCAGCCAACAGCCAGAUGAUUCCCAGACACAGCUGCCAUGCGACCUGCAGCUGACCACACAUGUGUGAGGGGCCCAGCUGAGAUGAGAGAACAGCCCAGCUGAGCCCAGACGCAUGCACUGGCUUGAAGCAUCAUGAGAUAGAUAAAUGGCUGUUGUCUGAAGCCGGUAAGUUUUGGGGUGGUUUGUUACAUAGCUGUAACUAAUUGAUUAACUGGUUACUGUCACAGAUGUACCUGGGCAAAAAAAAACCCCAAAAAAUAAAAUAAAACUAAAAACACUUUUGGCUUGAUUGAAACUGUCCCUCAGAGAAUUUCAUUUUAGAAUCU
rnacentral:lncRNA from 10 species